CGUCAAGUCCUCAUGGCCCUUAUGUCCAGGGCUACACACGUGCUACAAUGGUGCAUACAGAGCGCAGCGAGCUCGCGAGAGUAAGCCAAUCGCAAAAAGUGCGCCUCAGUACAGAUUGCACUCUGCAACUCGAGUGCAUGAAGUCGGAAUCGCUAGUAAUCGCUGAUCAGCAGGCAGCGGUGAAUACGUUCCCGGGCCUU
rnacentral:rRNA from 1 species